GGGGAAUAUUGCACAAUGGGGGAAACCCUGAUGCAGCGACGCCGCGUGAGUGAAGAAGUAUUUCGGUAUGUAAAGCUCUAUCAGCAGGGAAGAAGAAGGACGGUACCUGACUAAGAAGCCCCGGCUAACUC
rnacentral:rRNA from 1 species